UUUUUUUUUUUUUGUGGGAUCCACUAGCACAGUUGCAUACAGCACGCACGCAUUGCAGCCGUCUCCACUCCCAAGUCACUGCAGUGCCUCGCCAUGCAGCUCGUGGAGUCUUGCUUCACCAAGCCAUUCUUUUGGUCCGAGCCCCUGGUGCCAUGUCUUUCACGUGGUCACCGUGACCAUGUAUCUCCCGGCCUUCAGCAUCUGGUUUGGAUGCAACUAAUUGUGGUCGGUAUCACUACUCUGGGAGAGCUUAGCUUGGUUAUCAAGGUUCCAGAGCAUGCAUGUUACUACCUUGAUUUCACUGUUUUUCCCCCCUUCUGUUUGUGGUGAUGAUAUCACUACUCUUUAUCAGUGUGAUGUUAUAACUAGGAAUGCAUGUGUUAUUGGCUCUAUCAAGUGUGCAAUGAACUUUAUUAAUUCUAUUCUGUUCCUAAUGAUCGGAAAUUCCCGGUUUAUCAUGUUGUUAUAUAUUAUUAAGGCUACUAGUUAGGACCUUGUCACAUGGACUUGUUGAGCAUCAGUAAUGAUGGAUUCAACCAAAUAUCUUCAACGUUAGAAUUAUAUCAAGGAAAUUGUUCGCCCAGAUCGAUGCAUGUUAUUCGGUUGGACGAACAAAGCUGUGACAUCAAGAUAUCAUCAACACUGUGAUCUUAACACUCAUGUUCAUCAUCAUCAUGGAGACAUGCAUGGACAUGGACUCAUGGUCCAUGUUUCUCAUUUUGUUUGACACAUGUAGCUGGGAUGCGUGUGAGUUAUGAUCGUCCCAUUGCACCAAAAUGUUUUGGAUGCAUGUUACCUAGCCUACAGCAACAGCAGGCAUCAUGUGCUGAUCGUUCCAUUGCACCAAAAUAGAAAUAUGAAAUGUGAUGUAAGGAGUGCCAGAAAACACUAGCUAUUUAGCAUCCUUAUCUUUUCAGUCGCUUGAAUAUUCAUAGUAUAUAUGCAAGCGCCCCACCACCGUUGUUGUGCAUAUGGUGAAGACACUGGUUCGUGCAUGCAUGCUUCAUUGGGAUAUGCAUAGUAAUUUCUCUCACCUUACAUCUUACCAUGUGCUAUUAUAUUCCCUAGCAAGUAGUAUCAACCAAGCCAGAUUCUCUCUCUAAGGUAGCCACAAUUAGUUGAGUUUCAUUUGGAAAUGACACCUAGCUAAAUGAGCAGCUCAAGAGACAGACGAAGAAGACCAAUGUCUCUUCCUUCUGCCCUCCUCUCUAAUUUCUUUUUAACCCAGCCGUAAACUCUGAACUCUGAACUCUGCUAGCACAGCUAGCAGAAGCAGGCGACAUCUCGCUGGGGGUUAGGAUGGGUGAUUAAGUUUCUGGAACCGGCAUUAAAGGGUGGGGACUAAUGCCCCCCCCCCCCUAAUCCCGGUUCAGCACGAACCGGCACUAAUGGCCCGCCACGUGGCACGAGUCCGCGCCGGAGCCUGGGAGACCUUUAGUCCUGGUUGGUAAUACCAACCAGGACUAAAAGGUUUAGGGGUUUUGGGUUUUAUGAUUUAUUUUUCCUUUUAAUUUUGUGUUUUUCAUUUAAUUUUUUUUUAUUUAAAACAUAUUUUACACUACUACAUAUUGUACACAUUAUGCACAUAUAUAAAUAGAAUUUCUCGUAGAACUGAUCAUAUAUGUAUCAUCGACUUUCUCGCGCGACCAUUCACGCAUAUACACAUAUAUAAAAAGGGUAAGAACAAGAGGCUCACCACAAGGUGGUGCCGGCAACGGGACGGUGCGGGCGAUCGAUGGUCGUUAGGAUGGAGACGGGAAGGCACUAAGUAAACCAUACCUACAUAUGCAAACUAAGAGUUAUUUUGAGCUCAAAUUGCAUGUAAGUCAAAUAAACCACCACAAAUAAUUCCUCCAAAUUACUAAAACCCACAAAUUAAUCACUAUAUAGAGCAUUGCAAGAGUUAAUCUAGCAAUGAGAGAUGAAAGAACAAAGUUGCUAACCUUUGUGAUCACUUGAAUGGAUGGGGGCCUUCAAAUCUUGACAAAAUUUGGGCAAAAUGUGUGAUGAGCUCGAGGAAGAGGGGAAGAACAAAGAGGAGAGGAAAGGAAAGGGGAAGAACAGAGAACUCGGGCUGGACGAAGGGGUUUAUAUAGAGGCACGAACCGGGACCAAAGGUCCAUCCCUAGUACCGGUUCGUGCCACGAACCGGGACUAAAGGUGUUGGUGGGGCCACAGCCUGACAUCAGACUGAACCGGUACUAGAGGUUCACCAUGAACCAGGACUAAUGACCACCGCCCGCCUAGCCGUUGGAACCGGCACUAAUGAUCACAUUAGUGUCGGUUCAAUUACAAACCGGGACUAAUGAGAUUCACAUUAGGCCCUUUUUCUACUAGUUUUUUAUGUGUGUGUGGGGUGGGGGGGGUCCACCUUAAGCUCAACAUUUUUCUUUUUUUAGGUACCGGCCAAGCUCGAUUGCAAGUUUGCCAGUCAUUAAUUUUUGUUUUUCAGGAAAAGUUGGUGUUGGAUAUUAAUUUACUAUUGCACACUCAUUAUAAGAUGUUUUGACAAUUUAAUUUAAACAGCAAUAAUUUACUAUCACACACUCACUAUUUAUACUAUCUUGUUUCUAAAUGUAAACUAUUUCUGUUUAAAUUAAAUUGUCAGAACAUCUUAUAUUUAGAAACAGAGGGUGUGACAGAUUGUAUGAUUUUUUAUUUUUUAUUUUACUUUAAGCCAUUGAAUGCACAUCUGACCGAGUUGUAUAUAUGUCCUACUUGCCGUAACUUGCAUAAAAUGGAACAAAAUAGGAUAGCAUUGACUGAGAGUCGCACCGAGUGUAGCACCAAGGUAUGGCUAUGGAGAGGACAACCAUGUAUCGAGGAACUUCUGCCUCCUAAAUUAACUCUACGAUUAUGAAAUAAAACUCAUUUACCCUCGCAAAAAGAAAACUUGCACAGAAAAAUUGUAUUCCAAAGUUUCAAUAAACUGAAAAUGGUAAACAAUACCUUUGGGAUUGGUCGUUUGUCUUCCACCUCAAGAGCAUUCCUCGUACAUCUUCAAGUUUUCAUUUCCUUCCUCCUAUAUAAUUUCUCCUCCUACUUGAUGUCUCGUCUCUCCGCCUCUACUCCCCAUUCCUAUCAUGCUUUACGGUCCCCCUACCCCCAUACCACAUAAAGGGAAAUUAAGAGAGCUUGCUUAUUGCCGUCGUGGAGGAGACGCAUAGCUCAUUCUUGAUGCAAUGACGGCGGCGGCCGGUUUGCCAGGGAAUGCAGAUGGCUGGACAUUACAUGAUGGGACGACAUUACAUGAUGGAACUGUUGAAAUAUAUUGUCCACCUCUUUCUAUCGGUUCGGACUUUGGGAGCAACUAGCUGAAGCAUAAAUUCAGCAUGGUAUCCGAGCCAAGUGGCCUUAAAGUCAAGACCCUGCCAAUGCAGUAUCAAAAAAGGAUUUCGUGGCCUACAUUGAUCCAAAGUCUAAGGGCUAAAAUAGCCUAGAUGUAAAGGGGAGUGAAAUAUAUUGUCCGCCUCACUGAAGCAUGAAUUCAAUAGGAACAUGAGCCCAAUGUAACUAGUUCCCGUCGUCGAUAGAAUGUAGAGGUUAUUGAUGGCAGUACAGAGGUGGAGAAAGCGAUAACCCAAUGUUGAUGGUGGGACAAACUCGGAAGAUACAUGGGAGGCCGAGCUCAUUUGUCAUGUUGAAGCAACAAGGGUGCCCCCUAGUCGGGGGCCUUUCCCUAGCGCCUCGAACAGAGGGAACUGGUUGCUUUUUCCUAACAAUACGUGAUCCUAAAGGUGAUAUUUCAACUAUCAUAUGAAACUGGUGGCUUUUUCCUAACAAUACGCGUUCCUCGAGGCGAUAUUUCAACUAUCAUAUUCGCUGGAAAUUAUUGUUUCAAACAGAACUAAUUUCACAAUGCAAGAGUUAUAUUUUAAAUCCGGCUUGGUGUUGUCGACGUUGACAUUUUUCUUCUCUUCUCUAACAGUGAUAAAAUCUAGAAACAUUUGACUUGUCUGAAUUCUAAAACGACCUACAUUGCUGCGCCAAAUGUUCGGCUGGCUGAUAUCUUUGUUGUGUUAUCCCUCUUUAGGUUGAACGAUCUCUUAGCUUUAUCAGGCAAUGCAGCUAUUACAUUGUGUACACAGAAAAAUAAAAUAGUCACAUGAACAUAUCUGAAUGCCAGCAGAGGAUGAUGAUAGACAAAAGAAAAGGGGAAAACAAAUGUACAGCCCAUGAAUAGCACUUCAAAAGAAAAAGGAAAAAUGCAGAAGCGGAAAUAUUUUCUUACAGCCAGUCAGCUUCCUUCAUCACCACUCCAGAAUACAGUUUAUACAAACACCAAUGCAUCAAAAGAUACCAAAUGGAUGUCAUAUAAUGCAACACCCGCAAAACCUCUUGUCGUCCCGUGUAACGAUAUCCUACGCAAAAUGAAUGAGAAACGGAGAAGAAAGCAGCUUUAAGCCACAGUGAAGCUACUAAUCAAUUUACAAUUUCCCUCAAAUUUACAAAUUACAGCUACAUUUUUCCCAAGUGUGUAUAUGGUGCCGAAUAGCUCAAUUGUACUCCCGCCGAUCCUGACGGGUACGGGAAUGUUGAAGACUGUCACGCCACUGCACGCCUGCAUACGCAAAGAAUUGCUAUCCUGUUCUACAUAGUAACAAUUUUCGAAAUGCAGACUGGCGGAUAUCCGUGAGCCUAUUGCUACAACCCAUCUCCUGUGUAAAAUGAACAGCUAGCGCCCAAAGAUAUGAGCAUGUCCGAAUUCUCCACAGCCAGCCCUCGACGAUAUUAGCAAAAACAUGUCCACGGUAAUCUAAAUGGACGAUGGAGCCUGAGCAGUGAACGUGUACAAUCUACAGCGACGACUCACCCAAUUCCCAACCGACGAAUCAUAGUGGAAGAAGAUUCCGGAUAUACUGCCGGGAAGCACUGUUGCGUCCAAGGCCCAGCCCUAGGCCGAACGGUGUCCUCUCAUUCUUCUUGCUGUGGUCACAACACUGAGAGGAACCACCUUGACUGUGAGAGUUUGAGUUGGCAUGUGAAUCAGCACAAGCAUGGUCAUCGCAAUUACCAUGAUGGGAAUUGCCCUCGCCAUUCUGUGAGACUGCACUUGUCAUCUGUAUCAUUCCUAUUUCUUCGUCAGUGCGUGAUGCAUGCUCGAGCCGCUCAACGUCUUCAUUGUACCCGUUUACCAAGAAGUCUGAGCAGUUCUUGCGCACCCCAUGGUCGAACGGAUUUCUGAAUCUGCCAGCUGGGCCUCUUAGAUAAGUGUAUCUCAUGGAAUUGGCCAUCUCGUUGGUCGUGAUGUUCCUUGCUAUCUACAAGGGAGAGAAACAAUACAUGAAGAAGAAUACAUGGUACAGAUCAACAUGUCCCUCCUGUACUCCAGAGAGGCUAUAACUACUGGAUGGAAAGCAUGGUCCCACACAUGAACCUCACAGAUAGCUUCAUAAAUCAAAUAAGCAGACAAUGAUGUUUCGCAUCUGGCCUUGAUUUUAUCUCUGUUCAGUAAUUGCAAUCUUGACUUUGCUAUUGAAUUCCAAACAUGAUACAGUUUUAUUGACAAAUGCUUAACUAUAUUGCCUGACCAAUAAUGUUGUGUUCAUACUUGAUAGGUCAUAUACUCAUGAAUGAGCUGACAACGACAUGCCAAUCUGACAUAUCCAGCAAUUUCCAUAGAAAAAUGAUCCAGCAAGGCACAAAUAUCUGGGAAAACUCUAGUAAAGGUGUUACCGCAGUAGCAUACUUUCCGUAAAAAAAAGAUCCAGCAAGGCACAAAUAAUGUUAUGUUCAGGAUGUUUUAUACAAGUUCAUGCCUUAGUUUAGUUAGCAAUCAAAAAAUGUUGAAGAUUGUGCUACAAUGCACAAGCAUAUCGGUGGCUUCAUGAUUUUAGAAUCAAAUAACAAAUAACUUGGUUUUCUUAGGUAAAAACAUCCACGAUUUAUAACAUUAAAACUUUAAAUACCUGGUACGCUUGAACUCCUGUUAGACAUGCAACACCAAAGAAAAUGAAAAGGUCCAUCAUGAAAAAAGAAACAGCUCCAGUAUGGUAAACAACAGAAUAGCCUAGCCAAUCGCCAAAGGAUGCUGGAGAAGCUGGGUCACUUACAGUCCCUGCCAACAAAAAAAGUAAUGAAUCAUACGGAACAUUUCCAGUCCAUGUUGCAAGGAAAAGCCACAGAAGACUUAAGACUAUACUUAUGAUGGCAGCAGAACCAGUAAUGAUCAUUGCAAUUACUUCUAGAGUGAUGAACAUGAAGAAUUCCCAUUUGUUCUUCUGCAGUUACAUUCCACUAUAGAUCAGACUGAAGAACAAGCAGAUAUGAAGAGAAUAACAAAAUUCAAACAAAAAGUAAAGAAAGAAUCAGCAAGUGAUAAGCACAGGCUCUUCAUAGUGUCACUUUCUUAAAAGUAAGGUGGUAUCAUAACCUUUUGUCUACAUGAUAUUCAUCAAGCAACAUAAACCGUCCAAUACAUCUUCAGAAGAGGUGAUAAGUUGAUAGCUACAUUUGAUCACAUGUAGGCACAUAUGACAUGACUGAAAAGCCUACCUUGCCGACGCAAUUAGAUACCCAGGGGCAGUGAUGGUCAAACUGCUCAACACAGCGAUCACAUGUAGAACAAUGUUUCGAACGAACAGGUCUGACAAUCUGCAGAACGACACGUUCAGAAAUCAGAGGCCUAAGAAUAUAAUUCUAGGAUAGAGACAACUAAUUCAUCACUGUAUAAUGUAGUAAUGUACCGCUUACUUUGCAGGUUAUACAAAGCUGUGACCAGUUACCAGUCAGAAGUGCAGGAUUGUCUAACUCCAUCUUCAACAAGGGUUCCUAAAGCAAAAUGGGAUUGCAACAUUUUGGGAUAUGCUUAAACCUUAAAUUUGGUAACGCAUCUAGAAUAGCAAAUGAUCAUAAAGGUGCUUGCAGCAAACCAAAUUAACUCGGCUAAUCUUUCAAACUUACAUCGUCCCUUUGAUUAUGUGAAUCUCUUGUAUUCGCACUGAUGUAGCCAGGGUCUUUCCUGCAGAAAGUAAAAGCAAAUUUUACAUCAUAGUGGUGUUGCUUAAUGAUAAUUAGGUCGCUUGUCUCUAACUGGUGGCAAUGGGUUAGUAGCACUACAUUUUAAUAGAGCAAAUUUGCAACACAUAUAUACGUUGCAAUCGCAAAAGAAUAAUGUUUAAAUAAUUUGCCAUGUACGUAACACAUAUAAGAGUAAUCUAAACAGGAUGUCAUAUAUGAGUGCAAAUAUGCAAGCAGACACAUAAUGAACUCUGCCACUGUCUGAAAGUAUUGUCAAGAAAAGUGGUAACUGACAAGAAUCAACAUGCUUGCUGGAUUCAACCUUUUCAUAACUACUCCCUCCGUCCCAAAAUACUUGUUGUGGUUUUAGUUCAGAACUAAAGCCACGACAAAUAUUUUGGAACGGAGGACUACCCAAAUGCUUCAGUACCUGCUACAUUUAUAGAACAUGACCAAGCCAGCAGUUGCAACGAAAACUCCGGACCAUGCAAAUAGCCCAAAUGCUGGUGGCAUACCCAUGUUAUAUUGUCCUGGUAAAAAGGAAAUAUAAAUAAGCACCACAGUGCGGAAGAACAGGGCGAGUGAAAAGACAUUAGAAACGCCACUUACCUGCUAUAACAGAAUGUAUAUAUGUAGCAAGCAAUACAACAGCGAUACACCAAAGAAGAGGAGCAAGCCCUACUUUUGAUAGCUUUGCAAAUGUCGGAUUCCUGUUACAUCCACUGUCAUGUACCCUUCUAGCAUUGUCCUGUAAGGAAUGACGCAAAUCAAGUCUUCAGAUUCUUCUUGGAAACAAGAAAAGAUUUCCCCAGUUCAAAUAUCAGCAAUACUAAAGCCCUUUCAACUCAAGAUCAACAUGAUCGCUUUUUUGCAGAUAAUAUACAUUGAGGGAUAACUGAAACGGUUAAUCUACAAGGCAUCAUAAAUAAUUAAAGUGAAGAAGUCUUAAUCUAUCAGUGCAAUCAGCCAACCACAUGUAAAUGCUAAACAGUUAAUCAUUUCAAUUCCUAAGUUCAAAUGGAAUCUGCAAAAUAUCUGUGAGACAGUAAGAGAAUAGGUCACAAAGAAGAAAAUAUAUUUUUCUCCUUGGUUGCAUCUAUGUACAUACAAGUACCAGUUUCUGGUAUUUUCCAGCCAAACCAGUAUCUGCUUUUUGUUCUAAAUAUAGCCAAUUAGACAUGUCAUUUGACUGUACUUUUAUCAAGUCUACACAUAAAAUUACCAGGUUCAGAAAGCAUGUGCAUCAUUCAACAAAUUCGCCAACAAUACCUCAUCAUGAAACUCAGCCUUCCUUAACGAAUUUAAACAAUUAGAAAGCAGGCAUACAAAAUCUAUAGUGAUGCAAAUUAAUAUUGCUUAUAGUUUUUGUCUUUAUGCAAAUCAAAAUAAUUACUAGACAGAAUCCCUAUUAGAUGACAGUGCUUGUGCAUUGAGCCUCCGAGGUGCUGGAAAUAGCAGCUCAAGUAGACUAGAACAGAAAUGACAUGGUCCGUGUUGUUACUCACAAGAAAAAAUGCAACUUGUCGAUGAUUCUUAUCAGCAGCAAGCUGUGCUGGAGUUAAACCAGUUUUGUCUUUCACCAUCAAGUCAUCCUUUUUCCCAGCCUGAACUAGCACAGUGCAUGCUUCUAGAUUACCCCGGAUAGCAGCCCAAUGUAAAGGAGUACAACCUACGGCAGCAUUUGUCAUAAAGAAAUAAAAGUCAAGCUCCACGUGCUGUGUUCUAUUUACAGGCAGAGCAGUGAAUAAAUUUAGCACAUGCCUUCCUUAUCCUGCCGCACCCUAUGAGCAUCCAAAUACAAAAGAAGACGUAUCGAAUCUGCGAACCCCUUGUAAGCAGCCCUACAAGGUAAAUAAGCAACACAUAAGAAAACAGAAAUGUAAAUGUAAAAGCAGGUCCUAAAGUUCUGUUCAGACAUAUGUUACAUAAUGCACCAGCAGAAAUAAUUGGUAGGCUAAUGAGUUACUCAAGACUCAAGAGCAUAAGGUACGAACAAACCAGUGCAAUGGGCUUCUUCCAUCGUUGUCAGGGACAUCUGGAUCGGCAUUCCAUUUUGCAACAAUGUGAUAAAUAAAUGCUGUCUGACCAUACUGCGCUGCAACAUGUGUGGCCUGCAAACAACAGUAUAUAUUGAUUUAUAGAGUUGUAAUUAAUUCAAUGCCACAUGUGAAUGCCGUUGAUUCUUGCAUUUCUUUUCAUGUAGAAAAAAUCGUAUAGCCAAAGGUUUUUUUGUCCAUUACAUAUCUCUUAUCGUGUAACUUGCAGGAAAACAAGAUGGGAAUAGUUGAUCCAUUUGGCAGGCAAAUAUCCAACGACUAGUUGUCUAUCAGUUGUGAAUGAACAUUGGACACCCAAAAGCAAACACAAAGGCAAAACAAGGGCGAAAGACACGGAAGAAGUCAGUAUGCAGACCUGAUAGCCAUAUAAAUCAGCAGCAUCCACCUUAGCUCCCUCUUUCAGAAGUAGUUCAGCAACUUGUAUGUGACCACGUACAGAACUCCAGUGAAGUGCUGUCUGCCCAGUGUGAUCCACAGCAUUUACAUCUCCACCAUGCUGUCCAAAGACCACAAAAUCAUCACCCAGCCAAUAUAGAAAAUUAUUCAGGCAACUACAGCUACCAGGAGCAAGUACUGCGUAGAAAGCCCAUUCACGCACUCAAGUACAUAACAGGCAUACUCCUAUUGAUCGCCAUGGGGUACACUACAUUGUAUGAGCAGACUAUCCCAAGCCCACCACACGCUCAUUUGCUUAUACUCGAAACUGUGGAGGAAUUAAACUGAGGCAAAUGGUGAAUGCGACAAACAACAAGCUGGUGCCCUCGAACGAGUCCACGAGCUACAAAUCCAUGCGGUUAACCAACUCAAAUAUACGGCCUCGGGAAAAUUCCCCUCGUUGUAAGCAUGGCUGCCCAAACCUACCCAGCCACAGCACUAGGACAUUCAAUUGUCCCGUCAACCGAGUAAAUGAGCAGCUGAGAAAGCUCCCAUGGCUACACUCCAAGCUCAUACACACUUCAUGGAAUCCCCCAAAGGCCCAUACCCAAUGCAUGGCAAUUUCUGACCACGGUAACGAUAAGCAUCCAUCGUUUAAAGCUCGCAGCGGCGUAAAUUGUUCCGGACAUCGACACUAAGGCGCCCGCAGUUGUGUGGCAUGCAAAGUUCAGCUCGCAGAGCAAGCGCGCAUGGGUAAAGCUGAGAGGGGAGGGAAGCGGAGCGGGGCGGGGCCGGAACCUCGAGGAUGUACUGCGCGGCGGCGACGCGGUUGUUGAGGACGGCCCACUGGAGCGCGUAGUAGCCGGAGGCGUCGGUCCCGCCGACGGGGCGGCCCUCCGCCUCCACCAGCCGCUGCAGCUUCUCCAGAUCGCCGUACGCCGCCGCCGUGUACACGUCGUCCUUGAGCGCCUCCUCCUCCGCCACCGCCGCGGCCACCGGCACCUCCGCGGGCGUCGCCGCCGCCGCGGCGGUGGUGUCCUCGAGCACCUCGAUCUCCGACGCCAUGGGCGGGGAUCGGAUCGGGGGUUUUGGGGGAAUUGCGGGGCCGGUGGGGCGAGGGGAGGAGCUUGGCUCGGGCUGCCGCGGUGGUUGGGGAGAGCGUGCGUGCGUGCGUGCGUUUGACUGGGCGUUGGCGGCGAGGCGACGGCCUCCGGCGACGCGGGCGGGCGGGCUGGUCUCCGCUCUGGUGGUGGGCCGGAGGCGGAGAACGCGAGAGGGGGCGGGGGAGGGGAGACCCGGACCGGAGAAGGGGGACGAAUGUGGGGGAUUUUUUGCGUGUCAGGACCUCUGUUUUCCUUAUUUUCUGUCGGGCUACAGCUUCGAGUAAUUUGAAAGCCAUGAAAUUCAAAUUAAUUUACAACCUUAAUGCUACAUAUCUGAUUGUAAAUCAAUUCACAACUUCAGUUAAUGAUUGUUAGAGCUAGGUUUAAGCAUAGGUGGAGACAAAGGUGUUUACCCAAGUGGGUUGUGUCGCGUUGAUUUUUCGGUCUGGGUUUUUCCUUGGACCUCUCGAACCACCUGUAUUAUUUAAAUUUAAAAUGAACUCGGUUUAAAUAGUGAAGGCGUAAAGAUGAUUUGCGCCAUCGUCUACGGAGGCUCCACCCAUAUCCCUUUGCCAUUCUUGUUUUUUCCUACGUUACGUACUCGCUGCUUCUUCUUUUUUUAAAUAAAACAUCCUCUUUAUUUAUUAGUAAUAAUGGUUACAUCGUUUAUAAGGAAAUUUACAAUAUCGUACUCGCUGCUACUUCUAUUUACAUAUCUACUCCGUGGAUAUAAUUGGUUGAGACGUGACCUUUUCGAUAACUCGGCCUAUUUGGACAAGGAGUGUUUUCUAUAUGCUCCACCUCAAAGUACAUAAAAGUUGCACUUGAUCUAAGCAUGGCCUAAUUAGCGCUGCCUGUUCUCCAUGUUAAAUUCGCGGUACCUUUUUUUCCUUUUCGACAAGCACACUUUCUUUUUCUUGAUUAUCUUAGUUAUGUAGUGUUUUUUCUUGAUAAUCUUAGUUAUGCAGUGAUUUUCUAAUAACGCUUUUUCGAUACAGUAACUACUAUUAUUGUGAGAUGAAGAUAUUGAUAUCGUACUUUGUUUGGUUUCUAACUUACUAGAUGAUGCCAUUGAAAAUUUGAAAUGACAUUACGAUCCAAUUAAGCCUUAGAGCAACUCUAGCAGACCCCGCAAAACGCCGGCCCGCAAAACGCGUUUGCAGUUCGCGCAAAACCGCUUUUGCGGGCCGGCAAGGGCUAGCACAGAUGCAGACCCCCCAAACGGACCCGUAAAAAUGUAUAUUCGCGGAAUAUGCUUUUUUACGGGUCGGCUAUGCGGGUUCUGCUCGGGCUCCAGCGCAACGACCCGCAAACACAAGAACUGCAAAUCUGAAAUUGUCAUAGGGUUUCACAAACAAGUUCAAAUUCAAAUGACAUAAACAAUUUGCGCGCGAAUAAAAGCGAAGUUCGUUACGCAAAAGAGGGCAUGCAAAGGUAUGCGCCCAUGUCCGGCAUCAUCUUGGGGGUCGAUCUUUACUCGGCGCCAUGGAGUCCAUUUAAAACUUCAUUGGCGCCACCGUAGCCACCUCCGUCGCUUGUUCCAACUCCCGCACCGAAAUCAUCCACAUUGCCACUGUGUGGAGCAGAGAAAACAUCACCGGAACUGGCAGACGGACCGGCCGAGGCGACUAUUCUCCUCUUCAAGAUCUCUCUCCUUGCCAUAUCAUGCCAUGUUUUGGUGACCUCGUCCAUGCCAUUGCGGUUCAUUGACAUGAUCUUGUUCUCUUCGGCGAGCAACAAUGACAACGAUUUGUUUUCAGAGGCGCGUACUUUUCUCUCCUCAAUGGCAGCUCUGCGCAGCCCCUCUUCCUUGAGCAUUUGCCAUUUUUCUUGCUUCUCUUUUGCCUUCUUUUCGGCCAACUCUUUCUUGAUCUCCAACGACUUCAACAACAUUAACUCGUUUGAUUGCACCAUGGCAUCAAUCUUCUCCCUCAAGCUUGAUGCUUCUUGCUCUCUCUUUAUCUUCUCUCUAGUCUUCUUGUCGCCAUCGGGCUUAUUCAAAUUUCUUGGGCCAUCAUCAUCCUCGUCUUCAUCCAUGUUUGUAAGUGAGCCUCUCUUGGGUGGGGACUCUUUGUCGAUCAACUUUCACUUCUCGCACUUUUGGAGCAACUCCCAACAAUGCUCUAAUUUAAAAAAUCUGCCUUUCGAAGCUUCCAUGUCCUUGUAUCUUUGUUGAGCAAUCUUGUCCUACACAAUGCGAACAAGGUGAUGCAAUCAUUUUUCAUGAUACAUUAUAAUGAUGCACAACUUCAACAAAGGCAAAGCAAACUCACAUAGUCGGACUCCACGGUGCCACUUGGAGGUGCAUUGCGUACUUGCUCCAAGCAAGCUGCCCAACGGCUGCACAUAGGCUUGAUGUUCUCCCAACGACCUUGAAGCGACCGAAAUGUGCGUGGAGUCUUGUUGGGGUAGUUUUUCAUAAUGGGGAAGUAUUGAUCUUCGAUCAUUUGCCAAUAUCUCUUGGCGGUUUGAUUAGUACUCAGUGCUUGCAUCAAGAGACACCGCACUCCAUGCUUUGAUCAAAGCUUGAUCUUCCAAGAUGGUGUAGUUUUUGAUCUUUGGCUUUUCCCAGCUUUUGCUUGUGAAUUCUCAAACGUUUCCGCUUCAAUCUCCGCCAAGUCGUCCGCACAACCAUGAUCGUCCACGCCGCCCUCCGUUUCAUUGUAGACGAAAGGUUCGACAGGGGCUUGAUCAAUGUCAACCGCGUUCGUGUCCAACAAGUUCACGAACUUGGUUGUUGCAUUGUUCGAACCACCGCUAUACCGAACGAUGACAAGUCAUGAGCUAUCGAAAAACAAUGGCAAAAAUGAAAGAGAAUCACCAAAGUCCGAAAAGAGAUAUACCUUCCGGCCAUUUCGUCGAACACCUCGCUCGCGGGUGCAGUGGCACCCUUGAACGGCAUCGCCGGAGCACCACCUUGGGGGGGGGGAUGGAGUGAGGGGUUGAAGAAGAUUUGUUCCUUGAAGUCGGGACCUUCCUCCGCUUUACGCCCGCGACCUUGUCGGCCUUCUCCGUCGCUGGCCGGGAUCGCACAGCGGCAUUGGCGCCCGGAGCGCGGGCCAUCGCGGCGGGGGUAGCCGGAUUCCCGCCCUGCACAAGCACGUUGCCCUGCCGCUUGCGGGCAGGCGUGGCGUGUGCUUGGGCGACGCCGGCGGGGCCUACAUGGCCGGCGACGAGAUCCGCCCGAGGGGAAGGGGCGUGCGCGACCUCGACGGUGACGGGGGACAGCAUGGUGUCGUCCAUGGCGGCGAGGGACGGCCGGGGAGGAGCAGCCGGAGCUUUCAGAGGGGGGGCAAUGGUGGCGGAGGGUGCGGAGAGCGGGAAAGGGGGCGCGGAAAUGUCCCUCCCGCAUAAUCUCGCGCCGGAUGGGGGUUGAGCUCGGGUCGGCCUCCCAGCCCGUGAAGAUGGAGAUUGAGAGAGAAGAUUUGCCGCGCCCCACGAAAUUUUUUGCGGGCCGGGGCGUUUUACGGGGUCUGCUCGUGCAUAUUUUUUGGCCCCAACCCGAAAUUUGGCGGUUAUUUUGCGGGCCGGGGCGUUUUGCGGGGUCUGCUAGAGUUGCUCUUAAAUGACCCAGAUAAACAAUCUAUACUCUAAUGCCUCUACUUUGUUUACUCCAUUGACCGUGGGAAACAACACAUACUCCGACGCAUGUCCUUUUGUUAUACUCCAGUCAUCAGUGACCCUGGCAUAAGACAUUUUAACAGCUUUGUUCCUGAAGCCGCUACUUUCAUGCUUUCUUGAGAGGGUUCAGGACACCUCAAUUGGAGCAAUUUGACACAAAAAACAUAUACCACAAUAAGUCUGCAUUGCAUCCAUCCAAUCAUUUACACAAUGAUAAAAGUAACUCCCACUGAAAAUUCAAGACAUGAAAGUCCGAACAAUUCGCCUGGCCCAUGUGUCGGUGGACAUUUGAGGUGUCCGUUUUGAUGUACCGCGUUGGAGUUGCAAUUAAUUAUUUGGUAUGCAUGCUUGGAUUGGGAGUAUUUUCUAUGCUUCUCCUCAAAGUAGACAAAAAUUACACUCAACCCAAGCAUGGCCUAAUCAUUGUUGCUAGUUGUUGGCUGUAUAGUUUUCAAUGUUAAUCCAAGCCUCCUUUUUCUCCAUUGUCUUACUUGUGCAGUGUUUUUCUAACAAGACUUUUUGCAAUACACUAAUUAUGUUAACUUAAGAUUAAGACGUUGCUCUCAUUGCAACUAACAAGGUGACGCCAUUGAAAUGACAUUACGAUCCAGUUUACUAGUUAAGACCAAAAGGACCCUGGGAAACAAGAUGUAUUUUGAUGCCUAUCCCGCAUCCUCGUCGUCGUCGACUCGACGGUGGAGGCCUGCUUGAUCAGGGCCAUGUUCGGGACUGGGCUCCGCCGGGCUGGUAUUGGGAGGUGCUACCUUCCGGGGGACGUAGGUUGGUGAGAAGGCAACCCGUUGUUGACCCGAUCCUUGUUUGGUGGCGGUCGCGUGGGCCAGUGACGGUGGUGAGGCAUCCGGACACCGCGGAGGUGGUACGUCACCGUGUCAGCGAGAAGGACGAGCACGUCCGUCGCUACAUGGUUGCAUUGGAGGGCGGAUUCGACAAUACCUGGCAGGUUCUUCAGGGAUCUCACUGGAGCUAUGAUCCUGUGAUGGUUCCUUAUCUUUGGGUGUCCACCGCUCGCGUCGAUACCCGUCGGGCGCUACGGUUCUAGUUGUAUUAGUGAUAAUAUUCGACGAUGUACGGACACCAAGAGAUGAUAUACUUUUGCUUAUAAUUAUUGAAUGCAUGCUAAUUUGAAUACUAUACUUUAUUUUAUGAUUUGGUUUUGCUUAUUUUAUGAUUUGGUUUUGCUUAUUGAAUGCUCAUAUUGGAUAAGUUCUCUUUCAUUCCCGUGUGCUAGACAAUUUGAUAUAAUAAUGCAUUUGGGAAUGAAAGGAGGAGCUACGUACAUCGAUCAUCGAUAGUCAACCCAUGAUUAAUAAUAAUGAUCUAGUUUAAUAUUUGAAUUAUGAACGUAGGCCGGAAAUGUCGUACUCAUCGGACGACGAAAACCGCCCGGGGGAGUGCGACUGGUGCCACGACGACCGAGGUAUCUGCGACAGGUUCAUUGUGCUGGACAAAGAUCGUCGCUUCAGCAUUAAGCUCGAGGAGACCUUCGAUGUUCAUACGGUACGCAACCGACGAUAAUAGUUUUUUUGUAAUUACUCAUGACUUCAACUAUUUUAGUCAUGACAAUAUUUUUCAUCUUUUCCAAUUCGACUAGCUUAUCCCAUGCUUUGCAAGACGCUAUGUCUUAGAGAGGAUGGGUUUUGAAGACCAUGAAAGUUUCGAAACCAAAAAAAUUAUUCUAAGUACCCAUCAUGGUGUGAAUUUUCAAGUAAAGCUGUACAAUGCUCAGAGUGUAACCCAUUUUGGUUGCAAAAAUUGGGAAGCACUUUGCAAGAUGUAUGGUUUUGAUGAGGGUAUGCUUGUUACCAUGGAUCUUGGUGAUCCUACAAUCGAGCAAGAGAGACCUACGAUUUUCGUCCUUGUGAAUACACCUUCAAUUCUUCCCCCAUGUGAGCUUAACAUAGUUAUUAAGUAAUUUAUAUUGUUUAUUUCAAAAUAGUUGACAACUUAUUCUCCAUUGACAGCUUAUUUUCAUUCUUCAAAGAAUGUGCGGAAGAUGGUAGACAAAACCUACUACACCAAAGGCUCCGAACUAACUUAUCAUGAGAAAAAUCAUCUGGUCGCAUUUUGUACUGAUCUUGAAAAUUACAAUGUCUACAAUCGAACUCCUCAACAUUAUGGUCAAUACGUGCCACUAGUGCACGUGUUGAACUACGGUAACUACCAUGGAAAUACCCUGGUAAGAUUUUUGUACUAUUACAACAUCCGUGCAUCUUUUUGCACACUUCUAAAACUAGUACAUCAUAUCAUUGCUAACUACCAAGUUAUUACUAUGUUUUUCAACAGAUAAUCCCGAAUGAUUGUGUGCCUCAUCUGAUGUAUACACACGGUAGCCUUCAUGUUUUGAACAUACAACCAGGUUGUCCUACGAAUCUCAACUGUCCAUACCGGGUUUCUAAAAUAAGUGGAGACAUGAGAAUCAAAGAAUGGAAAAAAUAUAUGGACAGUCGUAAGGAGCUUCUUGGAAGCAACAUUCAGCGAAGGGCAAAAAUUGGAGACAGGAUGAUCGCCAUUCUUCAUAAUGGAGAGUCAGGAUCUAUAUUGUUUUAUGUUAUUUUACCUUAAGGGUGUUUAGGUCCUACCUGAUACUGAUGAUCAUGUGUUAAGAACAAUUAUGUAGGGUUGGGUUCGAUGACUAUGAGGAUGAUGAUCGUAUGACUUAUUAUUAAUAACGAGUAGAAGUUGUAUGAUGAUGCAUAAUUAGUAGGACGAGUACUUGUUAUUAUAUAUGCUGAUGUAUGCGAGCAUGCAUGAGUUAUUAUAUCAGCGGGUAAAAUGAACAUAUAUAGCAGCAGCGUUGGUAAACCAAGGACGAAGAUAUAAGAGAGGACACUUCUCUCUAUUAGCUAGCUAAUAUAACAACCUAAAAAUAACCCCCUAAACCCCUAAAAUAGCCAAUUUCCAAAAAAAAAACAUGGACUUUUGGUCUCGGUUGGUGCCACCAACCGGGACCGAAGGCCCCUUGACUGGGCUUGGCGCACAGAGCCACGUGGAGGCACAUUAGUCCCGGUUCUAGUUUAAAUCGGGACUAAUGGGUGGAGGUAUUAGUAACGGCCCAUUAGUCCCGGUUCAUGAACUGGGACUAAAGGCCCUCACGAACCGGGACUAUUAGGUGUUUUUCUACUAGUGUAGAUGCAUUUUAAGUGUGGAUUCAUUCAUUUUGCUCCGUAUGUAGUCCAUCCAGUGGAAUCUCUACAAAGACUUACAUUUAGGAACGGAGGGAGUAUUUGGCAUGCAUGCUUGGAUUGGGGGUAUUUUCUAUGCUUCUCCUCAAAAUAGACAAAAAUUACACUCAACCCAAGCAUGGCCUAAUCAUUGUUGCUAGUUGUUGCCCGUAUAGUUUUCAAUGUUAAAUCCACGCCUCCUUUUUCUUGAUUGUCUUACUUGUGCAGUGUUUUUCUAACAAGGCUUUUUGCAAUAGACUAAUUAUGUUAAUUUAAGAUUAAGACAUUGCUCUCAUUGCAACUAACAAGGUGACGCCAUUGAAAUGACAUUACGAUCCAGUUUACUAGUUAAGACCAAAAGGACCCUGGGAACAAGAUGUAUUUUGAUGCCUGCCCUUUUGUUAUAUUCCAGUCAUCACCGGUGACCCUGACGUAAGACAUAGUCCCUGAAGGAGUUUCUACACCCAGGGGCAAAUGCUCAAGGUGUGAACAGUAAAAUCAAAAAAAAAUCAAAAAAAAUAAUCUGAAUUUUUUGUUACAUACUUCCACAAAUGUUUGUUGUGCAUGCAAAAUUUCAUCGCGAAAUCACAUUGAUGAAAGGCAUGAUAAAGAAAAAAUCAAUGCUCUGAAAAUGUUACUUACAAAAGCAUUUUGGAGGUCUGACUUUGUUUUUUUGGCACGACUUCCACAAAUGUGAUUUUGUGAUGAAAUUUUGCAUGCACAACAAACAUUUGUGAAAGUAUGUAACAAAAAAUUCAGAUUAUUUUUUUUAUUUUACUGUUCACACCAUGAGCAUUUGCCCCUGGGUGUAGAAAGGUACUUUCGCUGAAGCAGCUACUUUCAUGAAAGUGCUUUUCUGAACUGAGCCUUUGUGAGCCCAAGGUGAACAGUAAAAUAGAAAAAAAUCAAAUAAUUCUGAAAAAGAUAGCAAACAUUGACAAAUGUUCUUGUAAAGUUUCAUCACAAAAUGACAUUAGUAAAAAUACAUGGGAAAAACGAUGUUUUUUGAUGAAAAAAAAAAUGUAUUUUGCUGUUCAUCCAAGCUCACAUAAGGUCAAGCUCGGUUUAACCUUGUCCCCACUUUCAUGCUUUCUGAGAAAUUCAACCCAAAAACAUCCCCUCAAGAAAUAAAUUCAACGCAAAAAAAUAAUCCACACAAUGUCAUAUUGCAUCCAUCCAAUCACCUACAGAAUGAUAAGGGUAGCUCCCAUUGAAAAUUCAAGACAUGGAAUCUGCAAUGUGCAUACAAGAUUCAUCAUCAUCGUCGUCGUCAUCAUCAUCAUCCAUCUUCAGGCACAAUAGAACCCCCAAGACACUCUGGUCCAAACCUGUCGAAUGGCCGUCCAUUUCGCUACCCUCUGCUACCACUACUACAUCUACCGGAACGAAAACUAGACAAAGUUCAACAUGAUUGCGCAAGACCAGGAACAACGAAAUGUAAAACACAAGAGGGUCAUCAUCUGAAGGAGCUCCAUAACAUGUAGAUGAAGUAGCACGCUCCCCACCGGCAAAACUAGAUAGUCGAUCAUGCAUCGGCCUUCUCGCUCUAAAGAUAUUUGAAGAGGAUGCCUCCAUAGGUGGCGAAGAAGGGGGCGAACACGAGGGACUCGACCGCCAUGAGCUUGAUGAGGAUGUUGAGUGAGGGGCCCGAGGUGUCCUUGAGAGGGUCCCCGAUGGUGUCGCCGAUCACAGCAGCCUUGUGGCAGUCCGAGCCUUUCGGGCCCAGGCUCUUUGCGUGCUCAGAUGCGCCAGCCUAAAACCAAGGAAACACACAGUUAAUGAUUUUUGGCAAACGCGUGAGGAAAAGGAAAGCUCCUGACUGAUGGGGGUCAAAGGAUCUUUACCUCAAUGUACUUCUUCGCGUUGUCCCAGGCACCACCGGUGUUCGAUGCUGAAAUGGCAAUCUGGAUAAAAACAACACAGUUUUGAGUGGAACAUCACAUGGCUAUGCAUGCAGCAACAGAGUACGGAAACAGAAUGCUAAGUAUAUUCCCACAAAACAGAAUGUUCCACCAACCUGAACACCAGAAACCAGAGCACCGGCAAGGACACCAGAGAGGGUCUCAACGCCAAAGAAGGUCCCGACAAUAAGAGGUGUCAGCAUGACCAGAGCACCCGGGGGGAUCAUCUCCUUGAUGGACGCAUCGGUGGAGAUCUUCACACAUGUCGCAUAGUCAGGCUUGGCGGUGCCCUCCAUGAGCCCAGGGAUGGUGUUGAACUGCCUCCGCACUUCCUCCACCAUCUUGAGAGCCGCGCUUCCAACACUCUUCAUGGUCAUUGCAGAGAACCAGUACGGGAGCAUGGCACCAACAAGGAGGCCAAUGAAAACGUUUGGUGUCAGAACAUCAACAGUUGUGAUCCCGGCACGGCUCACAAAGGCACCGAAGAGAGCAAGGGACACCAGGGCAGCCGAGCCAAUUGCAAAACCCUACAGGUAAAAAACCAUGGUAAACAGAGUUUAGUAGUUUGAAAUGAAAUUUGUGGAAAGAAAUUAUAACUGAAGAAAUAUUCUAUGGAGUAUUCAAGUUACAGUGGAAUGCACUUCCUUGAAUGAGAUAAUAAGGUCAUUCAGCUCUCAAAUUAAAGACAGAAAACAAGUUAAAGAUUGUAUACCUUUCCAAUGGCAGCAGUUGUGUUUCCUGCAGCAUCCAGAGCAUCAGUUCUCUCACGGAUUCUGUGGCUCAUGCCAGCCAUUUCAGCGAUGCCUCCAGCGUUGUCACUGAUAGGGCCAUAGGCAUCAAUGGCAAGACCGGUCGCAAUUGUGCUGAGCAUUCCAAGAGCAGCCACAGCCACACCAUACAUCGCGGCAAGGCUGAAGCUGAGGAAAAUACUGAAGGCAAUGGCGAAGAUAGGGAUAAUAACUGAUUUGUAUCCCAGAGCAAGACCAAAGAUGACAUUGGUAGCAGCUCCAGUUCUGCAGGAAUCAGCAACAUCCUGCACAGGACUGAAAGCGCCGAACUGUCAGGAACUUGAAACUCACAAUGAGAAUUAUACAUGACCAAAAUUGCAAGUACCUGUAUGCAUUGCUUGUGUAGUACUCUGUAAUGAAUCCAAUGACUAGGCCAGCCCAGAGACCAACCGCCACACACAAAAAUAGUUGCCUGUAAAAUAGAAGGUGAAGUGAGAUCAUGAAUUCAAUGAGGAAGGCCUGAACAAAAUUAUAUAAAUUCAAAUUGAAAAGAUGGCAAUACCAGCUAUGCACAGUCUUCUGGGCACCAAAGUUGAAUAUUGUGAAGGUAUACGGGAGGCCUAACCAACUGACAAGUGCAAUGCCAGCGGUCAUCACGGCAGUGGAGAUAAUAAGCUGUUUUUUAAGGGCAGGCUCUAUUUGAUCUACCUCCUUCACCUCAAAGAAAUCGGUUGCAAAAAGAGUCGUUAUCAAACAAGCUAUUAUACCCACUGAGCUAAUUAGGAGUGGGUACAUCAUGGGGGUGAAUUGAUGGUUAAUUCCGAAGGAAGAGAUCGAGGCAACAACAAGAGCAGCACAAGACGACUCGGCGUAGGAACCAAAGAGAUCUGAACCCAUUCCAGCAAUAUCUCCAACAUUGUCACCAACAUUGUCUGCAAUGACCUGCAUGAAGGAAGGAAUGAUCAUUCUCAUGCGUAGAUAAAAAAUACUACCUAUCAGAAUAUUAAUACUCUGUUCGACAACAGAGGAUAGGCACUUACAGCUGGGUUCCUCGGGUCAUCUUCAGGGAUGUUCCUUUCUACUUUCCCAACAAGAUCAGCGCCAACAUCAGCAGCUUUGGUGUAAAUCCCGCCGCCUACACGGCCGAAAAGAGCCAUGGAAGAACCGCCGAGACCAUACCCGGUGAUAGCCUCGAAAAGGCCCUCCCAGUCAUCACCAUAAUAAAGCCCAAACAGGUUGAUUGCGACGUAGAGAACAAAAAGGCCACUCGCAGCAAGAAGGAAGCCCAUCACAGCACCAGAGCGGAAAGCGGUGAUGAACGCCUUCCCGACACCCUUCCUUGCCUCGAGAGUGGUCCUGGCAUUCGCGUAGGUCGCGAUCUUCAUUCCGAGGAAACCAGACACAAGCGAGGUGACCGCACCCAGCACAAAGGCAAUUGUGCUGAAGGCGGCGUUGGCAAGAGCAGGCUUGCAUGUCUUGCCCACGCUGUAAUGGCAAGGCUGGCUCUUUGUGCUGAACCCCUCGAUGGAGCCAAGGAAGACGAAGAUGAGGACCGCGAAAACGGUCAUGAACCCUCCGGCAUACUUGUACUCGGUGAAAAGGAAGGAGGUUGCCCCUGUUUUACAAGAGAGCAAGAGUGUUCAGACCACAAAUGCAUAUACAACAAAGGUAGACACUAAGCAUUUUCAAGAGGAAGUUUAUCAGGAAUAAAACAUGGAGGCAAAUACAAAAUAUCAAAGGUGAGAGUAAUGACAAUGUACGUACUGUGUUGUGAGCCAUACAGCAACCUGCUGGCCUUUUAUUUUAUCAAAAAAAAAAACAAAAAAAAAACUGACCUCGACCUGACCCAACACAUAUUCUUAGAUUAUAUUUAACCCUAUUUUUAUUUAACCCUAGCAAGAUCUUGAAACAAACUUACAUACCAUUAUUAAGAAUAUAAACCAGCUAACAAAGCCUUGGGCAAAACUGCAAAUAAAACAGAGCACUAAAAUCAGCAGCACCUAACAGAAAAUUUGUCCCCGUGUCUUCAAAUGGCAGCUGGGAGGACGGCGGUUGCAAUACCUUGUCCUCUUCUUCAUGCAGUCAGUCAGCUUACCCUAUCUAUCCCUGCACCGCAGCGUGGUCGCUGCUGGGCUUUGUUGGGCCCGGGGACCUCACUUCUCACCAAGAACAAAUCACUUCUAGUUUUUUUUUCCUAAGUAGAACAAAAAAACACUUCUGAUUUACUGCCAACCGUCAACCAUCCCCGCAGAUCUGCAUCCCCACCCACUCGUUCCCCACAAGAAAUAUAUAUCUCCAGGGAGAAAAAUCUUGUCGGGAGUGAGCGGAUGGUUAAUUAAUCGAAAUUUAACCACGAUUAGUCAGCACGCGCUGGAGCGAGGAUUAUUAUAUCGCGUGCUGCGCAAAGCGGGGACAAUCGAUAUUAUAAUGUCUGCUCGCAGAUCCACCUAUAAAGUGUAAGACUGAUACUAUAGAAGUUGAUAGAAGUACAUAAUCAAGCAUAUAAUAAAUUACGAAUCCAUGCAUCAAAAUAUGAAGAAAUUACCGCUACAGAACACAUCAAAAAUAUGAAAUUACCGCUGCACAACACACCAUCUACAGUAUCAUGCUGGAUUAUGAUGCUACACGCUACGCGCCGCGGCGGAUUCGGACAGGAAAAGUUUCUGACGGCGUUCACGCCGCAAGCGAACAGAAAGCAGUCAAACCGGCGGGGAGACUACUGCUGGCGCCCGGUUCCUGCGCGCUCGGGAGGCCGCAGCCGGCGCCGAGAUGGCCGAGAUCUACCUACCCGCCCGCCCUCGGACGCCGGAUCGAUCCACGCCCGCCGGCCGGCGCCGACCGGAGCGCGAACUACUACUACUACCAGCUACGGCCGCCGGGCCGGGCCAUAUCUCUGUGCUGUGUGGGGGUGCGUGGCUCACCUUCGGAGAUGGCGGUCUGGAUCUCGGCGCACUUGAGGACGACGUUGUGGUCGUUGAGGCCCUCCUCCUCCUCGAUGAGGUACUCGCUGGCGCCGUCCUUGCCGCCCGCGCCGGCGCCUCCUCCGGCCGCCGACCCGCCCUCGCCGCGCGGCUCGGGGGCGACCUUCACCUUGGAGACCAGCACCCACUGCAGCACCGCGAACGCGAUGCCGACCGCCGCCGCCACCGGCACCACCAGCUGCGUGGCCAGCUCCGGCAGGAUCGCCGCCGCCGCCACCAUCUCCGCCGCCGGAAAGAUCAGCACGCGCCCAAGACCGGUUCUUUCCCGUUCCGUUCCCCCACCUUCCGCGGAGGAUCAGGUAGUACGAGAGCGAGGGAGAGCGGAGAGCAGCGCAGGCGAGGGGAGCGGCGGCUUUUAUAGCCGGAGCGGAGAGGAGAGGGAGGCCGGGAGUGGGGAGAGGAAGAGGAUGGAGCUGGAGUGUAGGCGGUGACGUGGAGGCCGGGAGUGGCAGUUCCGUGAUUUGCGGGGUCUUUGGGCUAUCGCUCUGUUCCGUUUCACCUCCCUCCCUGGUCAAGAGGGUGAAAAGAGAUCGCCUCCGAGUCUAUCCUCUCCCGGUCAAGAGGGAGUGUGAGCAUUGUUAAUGUAGCGAUAAAAAAGUUAUAUGGAUAUUUUUUUUCACGGGUAGUUUUGUGGUGGUGUUGGCGGUUGAAAGUCGGGCUGUUGUUGUUCUGGAUUUCUGGAGGUUGACAGCGGUGGUGGUUAUGCGUUGCGAGUUCGCCAAAGGGUCAAAGUCUUGGGUUGACGUCUCGAGCGCCUCGCAAUGAGCUGGGUUUUCUUGCAUGGCGGACGGCGCGUUGUGGCAAUGGGAAGGUGGCGUGGCUUUGUCGGGCUUUGGGCCUCACGACUCCCGAGAGUGGGUGGACGGCGGAUGACGUGUGUAUGCGCUAUGCUUGGCGGUUGGGAAUGCGGUAAUGAAUGCCAGUUGCGAGACCGUAAUAACGUCGGAUAGUUGUUGAUAGUUGUUGGCACGAUGCACGUAGAAGAUGUGUGGACUUCGUCGGUCUUCGGACCGCACGGCUCCCAAGGGUGGGAGAGCGGCGGAUGGGGUGUAUGCGUUAUGCUUGGCGGUUCUGAAAGCAAUAAUGAAUGCCAGCUGCGAGACCAUAGUAACGUCAGGCUUUUCUUUAUCGUGACACUUAGGAUAGUUGUUGACAGUUGUUGGCACCAUGCACGUAGAGGAUGCGUGGACUUUGUCGGUCUUCGGACCUCACGACUCCCAAGAGUGGGAGAGCGGCAGACGGGGUGUAUGCGUUAUACUUGGCGGUUCUGAAAGCAAUAAUGAAUGCCACCUGCGAGGCCAUAGUAACGUCAGGCUUUUCUUUGUCGUGGCACUUAGGAAAGUUGUUGACAGUNNNNNNNNNNNNNNNNNNNNNNNNNNNNNNNNNNNNNNNNNNNNNNNNNNNNNNNNNNNNNNNNNNNNNNNNNNNNNNNNNNNNNNNNNNNNNNNNNNNNNNNNNNNNNNNNNNNNNNNNNNNNNNNNNNNNNNNNNNNNNNNNNNNNNNNNNNNNNNNNNNNNNNNNNNNNNNNNNNNNNNNNNNNNNNNNNNNNNNNNNNNNNNNNNNNNNNNNNNNNNNNNNNNNNNNNNNNNNNNNNNNNNNNNNNNNNNNNNNNNNNNNNNNNNNNNNNNNNNNNNNNNNNNNNNNNNNNNNNNNNNNNNNNNNNNNNNNNNNNNNNNNNNNNNNNNNNNNNNNNNNNNNNNNNNNNNNNNNNNNNNNNNNNNNNNNNNNNNNNNNNNNNNNNNNNNNNNNNNNNNNNNNNNNNNNNNNNNNNNNNNNNNNNNNNNNNNNNNNNNNNNNNNNNNNNNNNNNNNNNNNNNNNNNNNNNNNNNNNNNNNNNNNNNNNNNNNNNNNNNNNNNNNNNNNNNNNNNNNNNNNNNNNNNNNNNNNNNNNNNNNNNNNNNNNNNNNNNNNNNNNNNNNNNNNNNNNNNNNNNNNNNNNNNNNNNNNNNNNNNNNNNNNNNNNNNNNNNNNNNNNNNNNNNNNNNNNNNNNNNNNNNNNNNNNNNNNNNNNNNNNNNNNNNNNNNNNNNNNNNNNNNNNNNNNNNNNNNNNNNNNNNNNNNNNNNNNNNNNNNNNNNNNNNNNNNNNNNNNNNNNNNNNNNNNNNNNNNNNNNNNNNNNNNNNNNNNNNNNNNNNNNNNNNNNNNNNNNNNNNNNNNNNNNNNNNNNNNNNNNNNNNNNNNNNNNNNNNNNNNNNNNNNNNNNNNNNNNNNNNNNNNNNNNNNNNNNNNNNNNNNNNNNNNNNNNNNNNNNNNNNNNNNNNNNNNNNNNNNNNNNNNNNNNNNNNNNNNNNNNNNNNNNNNNNNNNNNNNNNNNNNNNNNNNNNNNNNNNNNNNNNNNNNNNNNNNNNNNNNNNNNNNNNNNNNNNNNNNNNNNNNNNNNNNNNNNNNNNNNNNNNNNNNNNNNNNNNNNNNNNNNNNNNNNNNNNNNNNNNNNNNNNNNNNNNNNNNNNNNNNNNNNNNNNNNNNNNNNNNNNNNNNNNNNNNNNNNNNNNNNNNNNNNNNNNNNNNNNNNNNNNNNNNNNNNNNNNNNNNNNNNNNNNNNNNNNNNNNNNNNNNNNNNNNNNNNNNNNNNNNNNNNNNNNNNNNNNNNNNNNNNNNNNNNNNNNNNNNNNNNNNNNNNNNNNNNNNNNNNNNNNNNNNNNNNNNNNNNNNNNNNNNNNNNNNNNNNNNNNNNNNNNNNNNNNNNNNNNNNNNNNNNNNNNNNNNNNNNNNNNNNNNNNNNNNNNNNNNNNNNNNNNNNNNNNNNNNNNNNNNNNNNNNNNNNNNNNNNNNNNNNNNNNNNNNNNNNNNNNNNNNNNNNNNNNNNNNNNNNNNNNNNNNNNNNNNNNNNNNNNNNNNNNNNNNNNNNNNNNNNNNNNNNNNNNNNNNNNNNNNNNNNNNNNNNNNNNNNNNNNNNNNNNNNNNNNNNNNNNNNNNNNNNNNNNNNNNNNNNNNNNNNNNNNNNNNNNNNNNNNNNNNNNNNNNNNNNNNNNNNNNNNNNNNNNNNNNNNNNNNNNNNNNNNNNNNNNNNNNNAUACUUGGCGGUUCUAAACGCAAUAAUGAAUGCCAGCUGCGAGACCAUAGUAACGUCAGACUUUUCUUUAUCGUGGCACUUAGGAAAGUUGUUGACAGUUGUUGGCUCCAUGCACGUAGAAGAUGCGUGGACUUCGUCGGUCUUCGGACCUCACGACUCCCAAGAGUGGGAGAGCGGCGGAUGGGGUGUAUGCGUUAUACUUGGCGGUUCUGAAAGCAAUAAUGAAUGCCAGCUGUGAGACCGUAGUAACGUCAGGCUUUUCUUUGUCGUGACACAUAUAUAGGAUAGUUGUUGACGGUUGUUGACAUGAUGCACAUAGAAGAUGUUUUAACUUUCGUGGAAGAAACCAAGAGAAAACACAACCAUAUUAGUUGAUCCGGUGUUGUUAGCGGUUAAAAACCAUGAUAUUGGUCUGGUGCUUACCAGUGAUUAUGCGUCAUUCACUAAAGGGCCAAAAGUCUUGGCUUAACGCCUCGAGUGUCUCACAAUGAGAUUGAUUUUUUUCCCAUGGUGGACGGCGCAUUGUUGGCAACGGGAGAUGCGGUGACCGCGUAAGUGUCCGUCCAUCACGACUCCCAAGAGUGGGAUGAGGUAGAUGGCGUGUGCAUGCUAUACUCGACGGUUGUGGAAUCAGUAAUGAAUGCCAGCCCCAAGAACGUAGUGACAUCGGGCUUUUCUUUACCGUGACCUUUAGGAUAGUUGUUGAGAUAUCGUUGGCAUGACGUACAAGAGAUGAUGUUUUGACUUUUGUGGAAGGAACUAAGAGCAAACACCAACACAUUUUAGUUGAUCCGAUGUUGUUAGCCAUUAAAAAUCAUGAGAUUGAUCUGAUGCUUAGUACCGGUGAUUAUGUGUCGUUCAUUAAAGGGUCAAAGUCUUGGCUUGAUGUCUCAGAGUGUCUCACAAUGAGAUGUAAGUUUCUUCCAUGGUGGACGGCGUGUUGUUGGCAACGAGAAGAUGCAGUGACUUCGUUAGUCUUCGUACCUCGCAACUACCGGGAGUGGGAUGAGGUAGAUGUCGUGUAUGCGUUAUACUCGACGGUUGUGGAAUCAAUGAUGAAUGCCAGCCACGAGACUCUACACCAGGCUUUUCUUUGUUGCGACCCUUAGGAUAGUUGUUACGUUUGUUGGCAUGACAUACAAGAGAAGAUGCUUGACUUUCCGGGAAGGUACUUAGAGCAAACACCAACACAUUUAGUUGAUUUGAUGUUUUUACCAGUUAAAAACCACGAGACUGGUCUGGUGCUUAGCACCGGUGAUUAUGCAUCGUCCACUAAAGGGUCAAAGUCUUGGCUUGACGUCUCGAGUGUCUCACAUUGAGUUGUAUUUUCUUUCCAUGGUGCACAACACAUUGUUGGCAAUGAAAAGAUGUGGUGACUCCGUCGGUCUUUGGACCUCGCGACUCCCGAGAGUGGAAGAGCGGUGGAUGGCGUGUAUGCGUUAUACUUGCUGGUUGUGAAAGCAAUAAUGAAUGCCAACUGCAAGACCAUAGUAACAUGAGGCAUUUUUUUGUCGUGACACUUAGGAUAGUUGUUGGCAUGGCGUACAAAGAGAAGAUGUUUCAACUUUCAUGCAAGGAACUAAGAGAAAACACGAACACAUUAAGUUGAUCUGAUCUUGUUAAAGCGUAAAAAUCACGAGAUUGGUCUGGUGCUUAGUACCGAUGAUUAUGCGUCGCUCAUUAAAGGGUCAAAGUCUUGGUUUGAUAUCUCGAGUGUCUCGCAAUGGGCUAGAAUUUCCAUGGUGGUCGGCGUGUUGUUGGCAACAAGAAGAUGCGGUGACUUCGUCGGUCUUCGGACCUCGUGACUUUUCGAGAGUGGAUGAGAUAGAUGGCAUGCACAUGCUAUAAUCGAUGGUUGUCGAAUCAAUAAUGAAUGCCAGCUGCGAGACUGUAGUGACAUCAGGCUUUUCUUUGUCAUGACCCUUAGGAUAGAUGUUUUGGCUUUUGUGGAAGGUACUGAGAGCAAACACCAACCAUAUUAGUUGAUUUGAUGUUGUUAGCGGUUAAAAACCAUGAGAUUGGUUUGGUGCUUAGUACCAUGAUUAUGUGUCGUUCACCAAAGGGUUAAAGUCUUGGCUUGACAUUUCGAGUGUCUCACAAUGAGCUGGAAUUUUCUUCCAUGGUAGGCGGUGCAUUGUUGGCAACGGAGAGAUGUGGUGACUUCAUAAGCCUUCAUACCUCACAACUCCCAAGAGUGAGAUGAGGUAGAUGGCUUGUACAUGUUAUACUCGACGGUUGCAGAAUCAAUAAUGCAUGUCAGCUGCGAGAGCGUAGUGACAUUGGGCAUUUGGUCUUUUAUUUGUCGUCACACUUAGAUAGUUGUCGACAUGACAUACACAGAAGAUGAUUUGACUUCCGUGGGAGGAGCCAAGAGAAAACACAAUCAUAUUAGUUGAUACAUGAUAAAAUAACAUUAUAUAUAAUAGUAAUAUUUAAUGUGAGUUUUUUUUAGAAAAGGAGGAUGACCCCCGGCCUCUACAUCUGGGAGAUGCAUACGGCCAUAUUAUUGAUUAUUCUCGAGGUCCUUACAAAGUAGUACAACAAUAUGUCUGAAUCCGCCAUCUUGGCAGCAUCUGCCGCUACUCCUAUCCAAAUGAUGAAGGGGUUGCAAGCUGGGCAAAAUACCCAAACCUCCCACCUAAGCCUAACAUCUAAAGCCGGAGGCCCCGACCGAGCCACAUACCGGGUCCGAGGCACAAUCCGGUCCAACGCACUCACAUGUGUCGUCGCUGCCAUCUUCCACUGGUCCAUCUUCAGAGCAGAUUGAGGUGCCAACCUUGGCAGGUUCCUCCGCCAUCGAUGCCACCAUGACGCCAAACGAUGACCACCAUCUACGCUAGUCCAUCAGGACGAAGACCGGCGGAGAAUAGGUGAAACGCCACACACAUUGCCGCCACCAAACACCUCACACGCACUGCAAAGUGCCCACCAUGCUUCCGGGAACCCCAGGUGACGCCUUCAAGAAGGAGCACGACGAGGGUACGACGCCGUCGCCCGCAGGGGAACUAGAGCUUUCACCCAAAGGAAGAUCACAGUGAAGGAUGGGAGAGGACCUCAACAAGGCCUCCAAGAAGGGGACCGACGCCCAGCAAAGGCGCCGCCAUUGUCGUGGCCUCCGCCGACGGCCAAGGGUUUCCCCCGGUCCCGCCCCCAUCCCAUCCACCCGGCCAAAGCCUGGCCAGGGGAGCGCACGCAGCCGGAGAAGGCGUUGGACUUCAUCGAAGCAGGCACGCCGGGUGACGGGGCACCCCGACCUACUGUAGUUGACGUCCACCGAGACCUCGCUGCCCACACGGCCGAAGUCGCGGACCACCAGCACCCACGGCCGUCGCCCGCCGAAGAGGCAGCGCCGUCCACACCGCCCGAGGCCGCCGCCCCGGCAUCCACCCACCGCAUACAUCCCGUCAAAACAUGGAGAACAACCCACACCGCCGCCACCAGGGAGCACCACACCGCGAACACCCGAGCCAGGCAGGACGAGGCAAGGCCACGCCGGCCAGAUCCGGGCGGAUCCGGUGAACCCCGGCCCACCAGCCGCCAGAUCGGAGUAUUUAAUGUGAGUUUAAAGAAGACAAUCACAUCUCCCACUAUAUUGCCAUGGCAUUGCAUAUAUUGUGUCUAAUCUUGUUACUUUGUGACAGAGUUGAACUUUUCUUUCAUGGCAGAGAGUGUGUUGUUAGCAAUGGGAAACUGUGGUGACUUCGACGGUCUUCGGAACAUACAUUUCCAAGAGUAGGAGGAGAAUGGUGUGUACAUGUCAUACUCAACGGUUGUACAAACAAUAAUGGACGCCAAUUGCGCGAUUGUAGCGAUAUCGAGUUUUUCUUUGUCCUGACACUUAGGAUACUUGUUGACAUGAUGCACAUAGAAGACGUUUUGAAUUUCGUGGAAGGAACCGGGAGCAAACACAACCAUAUUAGCUGGUACAUGAGAAAAAUAACAUUUUGCAAAUGGUAAUAUUUGGCAUGAGUUCCAAUCGUUGUAAUAGCUGGCGUGAGUUUCAAUUGCCUCUCCCACUAUGAUACCAUGACAUUCCAUGGAUUGUUAUUAAUCUCAAAGAAGAUAAUUCUCCCAUUGAAAUCUCGGACUAAUGCGGUAAGAAUAGCUAACAUACAAUGAGUGAUACCCAUCAGCAUGCGUUCCAAUUGUAUCCAGCUAUACAGCUUCUAAUGCAUGUUUAAGUGAUCAAAGAAAUUAUUUUGUAACAUAUAUAGUACACAUAAACGGCAAAUAAUUAAUAUGGCAACUAGGCAAUUGAAUGGCAAUUGAAUAAUAUGUAGCUCGUGCUUGAAAGCCAAGCAACUCCUAUGAUACUUAGUCAACAGAGAUGGCCGUACGCCAUCCACCCAUGAUCAAAAGUACCGAUUUGACAGUGAGCUGGAUAUUGUGACAACAAGUCAAAUGGCUGGAUAUUAGGUAUGAGCCUAUAUCUUUUGCCCCGUAUUACAUAAUUAUUUUCUCUCGGAUAAAAAGCAAGUACAAAUAUAAACCAGAAUUAAAUAAGAAUCUAUGGCAUUCAAGAAACAAGAUAAUAUACGUAUACUAACAAAAGUUCUUCAGCGAAAGCUCAACUAUACAACUAUACAAUGCAUUUUGUUAUAUGAACUGAAGGGCGCAUCGGUAUCUCCAAACCAUCAUCAACCUCUAAUCAGAUGACUCAUCGCUGACUCAUCUUAACGGAGAAUCGGCAAGAAGAUAUCUCAAAUCAUUUGGAUAUUCCCAUGACCGGUAAGAAUAACAAAUUCGAAAAACAUAGUUUGACCAAUACCGACUUUUUGCAGGGAGAGAGAAAACAUGAAGAAUAUACUUGACAAAAGGGGGGAUGAAAAUAACCAUAACAAAAUUAUGUUUAGUUAGGAAUAUUAACAUUUCUAACAAAUAUUAGAGUUAGCCCUUGAUUUGCAGUCUUAAGGAGUAGUAUUUAAGAAACAAGACAUUACACACAAUAACUAACUCUGUUCAGCAAAAGGGUUAAGAAGGCAUCAGAAUCAAAUGAUGUGUUAUGGAGUGACGAGGCAGGCAUCCGAAUCAUACUUCGACCCGUUGGAUGAACACAAGCAAAAAGCAUGGAAAUAUUCCAUAUACUUUUUGGCUAAAGAAAAGGCAGGAGAAAGGUAUAUGCACGAAAGCCGGACGAGGUGAGCCGCCACAUGACACUCCCCUCUUCCAUAAUUCUCUGUUUGCUAGAUCACAGUUUUGCGAAACUAAUUUAAUUAGUCGCGGUGUUAAGACAAGGAGUGCGUGUGGUACAUGGUCACAUGCUAUAUUAAUCACUCUUGUAAGCUUAUUGAAUGAGAGUUGCUGGUUGCUAGUGGCUGGGUGUGCACAUCACCUUGCUCUUAUCUUUCAACCCCUAAAAAUAACAAAUUAACAAAUGGAAACACUCCAAGGCUCUUUCAACGAAAACAAUUUAAUCACUUACUUAAAAUUCUCUAAGAAAACUAGGCACAAGAAAUGGAAAAACAAAAUGCUUGCUACAAACUCAAAAGAAAGCGACGCGAUAACUGUACCGAGAUACUGAAAAAGCUGAGCCGUUGAAAAUGAUUUAACAUGAACGGUUGUGUAUGUUUUUUUCUAGCGUAGCAUGGGUAUUAGUUAGUAUUUUUAGUAAUAUUAUGGUUGGGCUUAGCCGCUUAGGUGGUCUCUGUUUAAUUAUGAUUGCGCGUAGGUUCUCUGUUUUAGUACCAUUCUUUUCCCUCUAUUUUUCUGCGAGUUUUUUUUUUUGAACUUUACAUCGCUGUUCCAGCUAGACAUGCAUGGUCCUUGGUAGCCUAACAGCCUGCAUUAUGGCUUCACCUGCAUGGUCUCUGCAUGUGAUUUGUUUCUGUUAUGUCUAUAUUGUUUGCACCUGGCAGUAGGUCACAAAUCAAUGUCGGUGCCACCUUGUGCAGUACCUAAAAUCUGUCCGUAUUUGCAGCAUUUUGAAAUGCACAUGCAUGCAUAUUUUUAAGCCAACUAGAACUGGAUCUAGCAUGAUACUAUUUCAGCAUUUCUUAUGGCAAUGUCCAUGUCUUUGUUUCAAUCAAGAAAAGAAAAACGGUGUUCAUGUCAACAAUAAAUUAGUUGUAUAAUAUCCAAUCAAAUGGAGUAUAUCUCCCUCUGUCCGGAAAUACUUGUUCCAUGUCAACAAUAAAUUAUUUGUAUAAUAUCCAAUCAAAUGGAGUAUAUCUCCCUCCGUCCGGAAAUACUUGUGAGAGAAAUUGAUGUAUCUAGACAUAUUUUAAUUCUAAAUAUAUCAGUUAUUAUCCAUUUUUGCGACAAGUAUUUCCAGACGGAGGGAGUAGUUAAUUACAUUGUGUAUGGACAAGUGCAUGUGGCCUGUGCUUAGGAAAGAGUAAGACAGCACAGUGGACAACGAUUUAAUAGGUAUCCGGUCACACAGCGCAGUGGUGGUGAUCACUGUCUGUCAAAUGAGUUAAUUAGUUGAGAGUGGCUGCCACUGGUGGGUCUAGAGGAGACAUCAGCUGCAUCACUGGAAUAGAAACACUUGUCCUAACAUUAGGUGGGGAUCUAGGUCCAGAUAUGUGCCCAACCUGUUUAGAUCAUAACUGAAGUCAGGAACAUAUGCCUGAUGCCCAGUGACCUUGUCAAAGCAAAAUGAUGGUUAUCAAGCAUAUCUGAUGGCUAUAAAGAGUAUAGUCCGUGAGUGCAAAUGCUAGGGUACGUUUGCCUCAAAAUAUUUGUGCUCCUAUUGAUAAUUAAGCAAAUUCAGUGAGAGUAAUAUGUAACUUUGGAACAAUUAUUGGGGACUUGAACUUCUUUUAUUAAAAAAGCCAUUGAUAUAUUACCUUCGCCCAGUCAAACUACACCUUAUAUUUUCUCCCGCAAAGGAAAAAAAAACUACACCUUAUAUUUUGAAACAGAGGUGGUGAGUAAUAGCGGUGCAAGAAGGGAGAAUGGUAAGGUUUGCACAAUAAAAUAGACACAGGAAGAAAUGGGAUCAAGAAGAUUGAUCCCAUUUACAUGUGGGCAGAUGCUACUCAACAUGUGAAUGUCCAACUCACAUUACACAGAGUAAUUAAUCCUAGGCCAUGCUAAUUCAUCUAUGAAUUCAUAUGGUGCACACUUGUCCAAAUCAAGGUGGUUUCUCACAAACCCCACCAUGGAUGGUAUGGUAUGGUAGACAGGUCCACAAGAUAUUUCCCCCCUUAAUUUCAUCAAAUGUUAAUCUUUUUCUUGUCUUGACUUAAUGGUAGGUGAGACCCUUGAUGGUGAUGGUGAUGCUCUGUCUACUUUCUAGAUUCAUGGGAGCAACACACUUCCAUCACGGUACUGAAGACACUUUAGUCUCUGCAAGGAACAAUAAACAAAGAUACAGAGGGUAUGUAUAUACAGCUCCAAAUGGCAGAAGUUGGCUAGAUUUGAACACUGGAGGAAAGAGGCCUAACUGCAAUAGUUUAGGUUAAAUAAGAUCUGCAUCUCCAUGACCCAACAGUUACCAGGCAGCUUCCAUAUGCAGCUCAAAAAAUAACCAAAUUCCAGCUAUCAUUGAUGUGCAUUGUCAGUAGUGCAGCAAGUGGCCUGAUGCUGGUGCAGCCAAAAUACAGAUAUUGCCCCAAUUACCCCAUCUCCUUAUCAUAGACUUCACUGCCGCAAGUGGGCUUCUCUUUUGAUAUAUUCCUCUUUAUCUCCCCAAGAACAUAUUCCAACAGAAAGAAAGAAGAAAGGAUAGUUUGGGAUGCGAAAAAGAAGGACGGAAAAUUCCAAAUAUUGGGACGUGUUGUAUCGAAGAAGACAUAUCCCGCAGCUCGCAGCGGCUAGCACGGACCACCGAAAAAGACCACGGUCCCGGGCAUCAUGGCUCGCCUUAACUCCGAGAUCCGACAAAAAACGGCGAAAACAAACCGGUUUCCGCGCUCGAGGAACAUGCAAAAUUCGACAACCCGCACACACACACACACACACACACACACACACACACACAAAAUAUCCCAAUGCCAGGAGGCCAAUGAUCCAGAACCCCAAACAAUGGAGUUUACAGCAACAUACAUAUAUCAUGCAUUAUCCAGCAGAAAUAAAGUGUGUGAUUCUGAGGGUGGAACAUAUCACCUCAGGCUUUCGGGCUCACCCUCCCAAGGUGUGAUCUGGUUCAGGCAUUUCCUGCCCCCCAUUGACAGGCCUUAUCCUUCCCCGGGCCAAUGGAGGACACAGAUCCCCAUCCCCUCUAUUAGGUGGUGAGUGUGACCAGCUGUGUGCAGUUAUAGUGAGAGGGAUGCAAAGCUUGUUCUCUAGCAGAACAUGUCCUGUGGCUCUACCUGGUCACCACAUGGUGCCCAACUGUCAACCCAAGGAGGGUUUCCAGCAAAUAAUUCGGUUUCUAGCUUACUUCCAGCUUGCCGUUUAGAGGAGACUUUAGUCCUAGGCGUAUAUUUUGCGGGGUUAUUAUGCUAUGGGUUUCGGUCAGGGAUGGCGGCAAAAUAUAUGAUAAAUUUCCCGUAACACGGUUGAAAUUGAUUUUCGCCGCAGGUUCAGAGCACGUGUUGUCAGGAUUGAUAUAUUCAGGUCCAUUUCGUAAGAGUAAUAUACUACUGUUCAUGUCAAAUUCAGCCUACUCGUAUAUGACUAGACUACACCAGAUGGACACCAAGUCAUGGUGAUCUACUUAAAAAAAAGGGGGAGAAUACCAAGAAGAGUAAUCACAUUCAGAAGUCCCUCUUAUGAUUAGAUAAUUUACCGAAUUCACGGUUCAAAUUAAUUUUUACUACAGGCUUUAAGGCACGUGUCACGAGACCGAUCCAGGUCCAUUUCAUGAUAAUUCUAUACUUACUUUUCAUGUCAAGUUCUACUUACUCCUACAUGACUAGACUACAAAAGCAUAGGUAUGUUACAUGUAGUCUCUAGAUGAUGGACACCAGGUCAAGGGUGAUCUACCUAAACAAAAGCAAAAUGAGGAGGCAUCAAGAAGGGUGAUCACAUUCACACACUGUGUGUACAAUAGAUAAAUUAUAGUAAGCACUAGGAGAGGCGUGGACGUCUAGAUCUUACACCACCUCUUCAUAUCUAACUCCCUUAGCUCCCAAGUAUAAGGUCAUUUUCAGCAUCCAGAAAAGGGGUGCACAUAUCCAAUGAAGCAGGUGGCAGACCAACCUUUAUUCUUCUCUCUCUCUCUGGGAGAGAUGCACACAUGUCCUAAAAUUACAGUCAUCAGAAGUCUCUCUUAUGAUUAGACAAAAGGUUUUACAGAACUACUACUAGGAAUCAGUUUCUAGUCACUUUCGCACUUUGCAAAUUUGCAAAAUAGGUUCCAUAUCCUACCAAUUUCUCGUCACUUGUGCGCCUUUGUAACAGGUUCCAUAUCAUGCUAUCAAACUGCUAGCUAGGGUGCACUAAGAACAGACCAAGGUGAGGCGCAAUCAUGUCCUGCGAGCGGGACACUGUCAUCUUCCCGAACUAAAAUUAAUAGCUUCUGGAAUGCAUCAUCAUAACAGAUUGAAGUUUUCAAAAAGGAAAAGAAAAUGGCAGAUCCAUAACAUAUUGACAAGGCUGGAUAUGGACUCUACUUUGUCUGACCGACCACACAGCUAGUAUCAUCCAUAAAUGAAGAGGGCCAAAUUCGUACCUACGAAAUGUUAUCAGGAACCGACUAAGUACAUAGCCCUGGAGAAGAGUUCAACCAUGAGCCUGCCAUAGUAUCAGUUCAGAUACGUACCGAAAAGGGUAUCUGAUUUUUCUUUUCAUAUUCUGGCGGUGUUUGUGAUCAACCAAAGGUCAGCAUCAGGAUGUCUCUACCGAUAGUCAACGACUCAGCAAGGCAUCCAAUAUUCAAAUGGUUAACAAGUUGACACACUGUACUUGACGUGAGCUAUAUAAAUCAAAUAAUUCAUGACUAGUUCAGCCAGGUGUUUCACAAGGUUUUCCAUUACAAACCUAUUACAUCUUAGAAUACAGUAGAAUACAUUAAAAGUGGGCAAAAGAGUUUCCACCUUGUCCCAGCCUCCCAUGGAAGUGUGAAGCAGUCUGGCACGGAUGUUUGUCGCAUCAUAAACUUAAGCCACAUACUGUCCCACGUUCUACAUCUAG
rnacentral:lncRNA from 1 species